UGAAAUUGCGCUGUUACAAACAUGGAUGUGACUGGAUCGCUGUAAUGCAAAGUCUUCACCUAGUUUGGGAAGGCCAGUUCAGCAGUGAGGCCCAACACUUGUUCGUAUGGCUGUUGAAUUAAUGAGUGGACAUCACCUCAAAGAUCUGUAUCGGAAACCAAAAUGCACCCAACCAUUUUCCAGUCAAUGAUUUAUUAGUGACUCGAGUGCAAUUAACGAAGACGGGAUGUACCGGAAUGGCAGUUGUGGCCAACUGCAGCCUAUCUGUGGGAUGAGCUAGGGCCGUGGCAGCGAGCGUGUGGCACGUGUGCCAGAGCAGGUACACAGAGACCACUCUGUCGGCGUGAGCCAGGGCACCCAGCAGCCGGACAUCAGGUACCAGUCAUCUGUGUAGCCACCCCCGUGGCUCAUAUCCCCACCUGCGCUCCACCUGCUGUUGGACCAGCAGCAUGAGAUUCUCCUAGGAACUUGGACCCUUUCGUGAACAGCACAGGGCUUUUUCAAAUUGAGGUGGAUCCACAUAACAUGACUUAAACAAUUUGACGGCAUUCGAUUCUCUCAGCAUGGAUGAACCACUGCCUGUAUCUACUACCGCACGUUACCCUCGCUCCAACGUAAGGCCCCGUAUUCGCUCAGCGGUUGCUCCCCAUCCUUUCCUCCCCGUCUCCUAGCAACCACCUAUCAGCCGUCUCCAGGGUCUUGCCUUCUCUGCUGCCCGUACAAACGUAGCGAUGCAGGUGUGACCACACCUGGCUCCUUUCACUUCCUCAUCUGUUCCACCGUUUUAUAUUAAUAACAACAUAACAGAGUUCCAGUUUCUCCAAAUCUUUGUCUGCGCUUGUUAUCUUUCUUUGUUAAAA